GAGCUCAAGACCACAUGACAAUAGUUAAGGAAAGAAGUUUAAGUAUAUUUAAUCAUCUCCAGCUACCUGAAAUUAGCUGGUAUGUGCAACAAAAUGUACAUCAGUUUCUUUUGUAAAGAAGAUCAUUUACUAAUCCUAGUUCAUUAGCCUACCAGCACUUCAAAAUGGUGCUACAUUCUGUUGUUAUGGAAGUCUUGAAUAUAUUACCUCCCUCUCAGUUUAAUUUCCUAAAACGUUAAAGUGUUGCCUGCAAAGUUCACUGUGGAAUUGCAUCAACAGAGAAACAGAAAAGCAGAAGUUCACAGGGUGAGGAACAGGCAAUCUGUCCUCUACAAAAAGAGCUACAAAAUGAACAGUACCAGAAUGAAGGCCUUUAUGACUGGCACAACCAGUCACAUUAGGGAGCUGCACCACUUAAUCUAUGCUUAGUAUAGUGAAAAUGUACCUAUGUGCUUAGAGUUCACAAAUUUCUUACCUUCUCGACGGUCAUUUCGAAGAAUACGCACUUUCUCUAUUUUCCCCAAGAGAGCACCAUCC